CGCGCAACCAAGGGGUGCAAUAGCUGAGAUGCCUUAAGGCGAACCCUUAGAACCUGAUCCGGAUUAUACCGGCGGAGGGAUGGUGCUAACUCCUCAA
rnacentral:ncRNA from 2 species